GUCACUACACAUCUUAAUGGAUUAGGAGAACUCCUUUGGGCAUGUAUAUAAGAGUCAAGUCCCUUCAAACUCAUAGCGCAUCCCAAUCUUUCUGCGGGUUCUACUCACUGUCAUUUGUUUUCCCUUGACGAUGUCAUAAGCUUGAGUUCAUCUUCACAAUUUGCAGGUUCACUCCUUUGAACUAGGAGAAUUUAUUUAUUAGUUUUCCAUGUUCAAAGGAGGAAACAAUAGUUAUUAUAUAAGUUCUUUGAAUUACUUUAUCCCAUUUGAGGCGAAGAUUAUUUCUUGGUCAAGGCAAAGAUUUUGCGAUGUCUAAGUAGAAGAAUUUACAACGUCCGAGAUAAAGAUCAUUACACCAUUUAAGUCGAAGACUAUACAUUGCAUGAUAUAUGUGAAGACUAUUACACCGUCUAAUUCAAAAACUUUACUUUGUCCCAUGCGAAAAUCAUCACACUGUUUAAGCUGAAGAUUUUACUUCAUCCGAGACAAAGACCAUUAUACCGUCUGAGCCAAAAAUUUACUUUAUCUAAGGCGAAAACCAUUACACCGUCUGAGCCAAAGAUUUUACUUUGCCUGAGGUGAAGAUCAUUACACCGUCAAGAAAUUGACUUUAUCUUGUUUGAAGAUUUAACUUCAUUUUAUUUGAGGCAUAGACCAUUACACCGUCUAAGCUAAAGAUUUUACCUUAUCUUAGGCAAAGAUCAUUACACUGUCUAAACCAAAAAUUUAUUGUCCGAAGCGAAUACCAUUACACUGUAUGAGCUAAAGACUUCAUUUUAUUUGAAAACUUUACUUUCUUUAUCUAUGGCAAAGACCAUUAUAUCAUCUAACCCAAAGAAUUUACUUUUAUCUGAGGCAAAGACCAUUACAUUGUCUGAGCCAAAGAUUUAUUUUAUCUGAAGCGAACACCAUUACACCGUCUAAGCUAAAGACUUCAUUUUAUUUGAGAAUUUGACUUUCUUUAUAUGUGGCAAAGACCAUUACACCGUCUGAGGCAAAAAUUUACUUUAUCUGAGGUGAAGACUAUUACACAGUUUGAGCCAAAGAUCUUACUUUAUUUACAUAUUUGACUUUUCUUUAUCUGAGGCGAAGACCAUCACACCGUCUGAUCCAAAGAUUUUACUUUGUCUGAGGUGAAGAUCAUUACACCGUCUGAGGCAAAAAUUUACUUUGUCUGAGGUGAAGACCAUUACACCGUCUGAGCCAAAUACUUUACUUUAUACGAGGCAAAGUCUAUUACACCGGCUAAGCUGAGGACUAUAUUUUGCAAAGGCAAAAGACAACCAUCUAAGCUGAAGACUUUACUUUGUCUGAAGAUAAGACCAUUAUACCGUCUAAGCUGAAGACUAUAUUUUGUCCAAGGCGAAGACAACUAUCUAAGCUGAAUACUUUACUUUGUCCGAGACUAAGACCAUUACACCGUCUAAGCUGAAGACUAUUUUGCAAAGGCGAAGACAACCAUCUAAGCUGAAGAUUUUACUUUGUCCGAGGCUAAGACCACUACAUCGUCUAAGCUGAAGACUAUAUUUUAUCCAAGACGAAGAUCAUUAUAGAGUCUAACUUGCAGAUUUUACUUUAUCGCCAAAAGAUUUGACCUUUUGGUGCAUAAGAACGAAAACUCGUCCUCAUUUCUAGAUGCAUGAAUCAAGAUUGUAUGAAGCAUGAUUUUUUUUCAAAAAGCUGACCACUAAGAAUAUCUCUUCAACUUCAAUCUUCAUAGAAUUGAAGACUUUUAACUUUUGGCGAAUUCGAAGGCUUUAACUAGACUUGAUGAAUUUGAAGACUUUAACUUGAUGACUCAAUUUGAGGACUUCCCAAAAUUGAAGACUUUAACUUGAAGAUUUGACGAAUUCGAAGGUCUCAUCAUCACUUAGCAUAUUUGAAAAAUUUAGAAGACUUGGUGGAUAUGAAGACUUCAACUCGAAGAUUUAGGUAGAUUUUAAGAAUUCAACUUGAAGGUUAAAUUAUAAGAGUUAACCUUGAAGAAGUAGCCACUUUGAAGAAUUCAACUUGAAGACGUGGCAGACUUGGAUAGUUGAAAACUUAGCGGACUAGAAGAAUUUAACUCAACUUCAACUUGAAGAUUUAGCAUGCUAGAGACUUCAAAUCAAUGAUAUAGAAAAUAGAAAGAAUUCAACUUGACGACUUAGCAAACUUGAAGAAUUCAGCUCAAAGACAUGACGGUCUUGAAAACUUUGCAGCUUGCUAAAGUCUAUAAUUGUCUCAAAGAUACCAAUCUCGGUGAAGAGGAUCAAGUCAUUAUGCAGUUUAUAAUGAGUGAGUUUUUUUAAAUAAUUUAUGAAUUUGAAGACUUGGCGGACUUGAAUACUGCAACUUUAAGACCUAACGGGCUUGAAUACUUCAAAUCGAUGAUGU